CACAUGCAAGUCGAGCGGAUGACAGGAGCUUGCUCCUGAAUUCAGCGGCGGACGGGUGAGUAAUGCCUAGGAAUCUGCCUGGUAGUGGGGGACAACGUUUCGAAAGGAACGCUAAUACCGCAUACGUCCUACGGGAGAAAGCAGGGGACCUUCGGGCCUUGCGCUAUCAGAUGAGCCUAGGUCGGAUUAGCUAGUUGGUGAGGUAAUGGCUCACCAAGGCGACGAUCCGUAACUGGUCUGAGAGGAUGAUCAGUCACACUGGAACUGAGACACGGUCCAGACUCCUACGGGAGGCAGCAGUGGGGAAUAUUGGACAAUGGGCGAAAGCCUGAUCCAGCCAUGCCGCGUGUGUGAAGAAGGUCUUCGGAUUGUAAAGCACUUUAAGUUGGGAGGAAGGGCAUUAACCUAAUACGUUAGUGUUUUGACUUUACCGACAGAAUAAGCACCGGCUAACUCUGUGCCUGCAGCCG
rnacentral:rRNA from 1 species